rnacentral:lncRNA from 1 species
UAGAAAUAUAUGUUUUUUAUUUGAUUAUAAAAAAUAUAUGAUAACUGAUUUAUUAUGAUUAAUAUAAUGUGAUAUUGUUAUAUAUGAAAUAAACAGAAUAAUUUUUAUCUAUUUGGACAGUUCAUUCACUGUAGAUAAAUAAACAUAACAAAAGUCAAAUACUCUUUAAAUUUAUAUGCAGUUGUAACUAUGUGCAACAGUGCAACUAAAUAACUCUUUAAAAUAAACUACGACUUUUGCCA